CCCUUAGAUGUUCUGGGCCGCACGCGCGCUACACUGACUGACUCAACGAGUGUACAACCUGCUUCGACAGAAGUGGGUAAUCUUUUGAAAUUCAGUCGUGAUGGGGCUAGAUUAUCGCAACUAUUAAUCUUCAACGAGGAAUGCCUAGUAAGCGCGAAUCAUCAGUUCGCGUUGAUUACGUCCCUGCCCUUUGUACACACCGCCCGUCGCUCCUACCGAUUGGAUGGUCCGGUGAAGCCUCGGGAUUGUGGUUCUUGCCGCUUUAUUGUGGCGUGACCGCGAGAACUUGUCUAAACCUUAUCAUCUAGAGGAAGGUGAAGUCGUAACA
rnacentral:rRNA from 1 species